ACUCCUACGGGAGGCAGCAGUGGGGAAUAUUGCACAAUGGGCGCAAGCCUGAUGCAGCCAUGCCGCGUGUGUGAAGAAGGCCUUCGGGUUGUAAAGCACUUUCAGUCGUGAGGAAGGUAGUGUAGUUAAUAGCUGCAUUAUUUGACGUUAGCGACAGAAGAAGCACCGGCUAACUCCGUGCCAGCAGCCGCGGUAAUACGGAGGGUGCGAGCGUUAAUCGGAAUUACUGGGCGUAAAGCGCAUGCAGGUGGUUUGUUAAGUCAGAUGUGAAAGCCCGGGGCUCAACCUCGGAAUAGCAUUUGAAACUGGCAGACUAGAGUACUGUAGAGGGGGGUAGAAUUUCAGGUGUAGCGGUGAAAUGCGUAGAGAUCUGAAGGAAUACCGGUGGCGAAGGCGGCCCCCUGGACAGAUACUGACACUCAGAUGCGAAAGCGUGGGGAGCAAACAGGAUU
rnacentral:rRNA from 1 species